rnacentral:rRNA from 1 species
UACGGAGGGUGCGAGCGUUAAUCGGAAUUACUGGGCGUAAAGGGUGCGUAGGUGGUAUGGUAAGUUAUCUGUGAAAUUCCUGGGCUUAACCUGGGACGGUCAGAUGAUACUGCUGUACUCGAGUAUGGGAGAGGGUAGUGGAAUUUCCGGUGUAGCGGUGAAAUGCGUAGAGAUCGGAAGGAACACCAGUGGCGAAGGCGGCUACCUGGCCCAAUACUGACACUGAGGCACGAAAGCGUGGGGAGCUAACAGG